rnacentral:rRNA from 1 species
UGGUUGAUCCUGCCAGUAGUCAUAUGCUUGUCUCAAAGAUUAAGCCAUGCAUGUCUAAGUACAGCUCUCGUAUAGUGAAACCGCGAAUGGCUCAUUAAAUCAGUUACUAUUUCUUAGAUCUUACUUUUGUUACUUGGAUAACUGUGGUAAUUCUAGAGCUAAUACAUGCACUUCAACCCUGACUUCUGGAAAGGGUGCUCUUAUUAGACUCAAAACCAAUGUCCAGUCUCGGCUGGUCUUGUUUUGGUGACUCUGGAUAAAGUGGCGGAUCGCAGCGCUUCACGCGGGCGACGUAUCUUUCCAAAAUGUCUGCCCUAUCAACUGUCGACGGUAGUGUAUUGGACUACUGUGGUUGCAACGGGUAACGGGGAAUUAGGGUUCGAUUCCGGAGAGGGAGCCCUGAGAAACGGCUACCACAUCCAAGGAAGGCAGCAGGCGCGCAAAUUACCCACUCCUAGCACAGGGAGGUAGUGACAAGAAAUAACAAUACGGGACUCUUUCGAGGCCCCGUAAUUGGAAUGAGAACAGUGUAAAGCACUUAACGAGGAUCUAUUGGAGGGCAAGUCUGGUGCCAGCAGCCGCGGUAAUUCCAGCUCCAAUAGCGUAUAUUAAAGUUGUUGCAGUUAAAAAGCUCGUAGUUGGAUCUCGGGAGCGGGCGGGCGGUCGGGCGUUCAGCCGUGCACUUCCCGCCCAUCCUACUGUCCGGUGCGUCCCCUGUGCUCUUAACCGAGUGUAGGGAGCGUCUGGAGCGUUUACUUUGAAAAAAUUAGAGUGCUCAAAGCAGACGAGUCGUCUGAAUAGCCGUGCAUGGAAUAAUGGAAUAGGACCUCGGUUCUAUUUUGUUGGUUUUCGGAAGUCGAGGUAAUGAUUAAGAGGGACAGACGGGGGCAUUCGUACUGGGCCGCCAGAGGUGAAAUUCUUUAACUGGCUCAUGACGAACAACUGCGAAAGCAUUUGCCAAGAAUGUUUUCAUUAAUCAAGAACGAAAGUCAGAGGGUCGAAGACGAUCAGAUACCGUCGUAGUUCUGACUGUAAACCAUGCCAACUGGCGAUCCGCAGGUGUUUCUCGAUGACCCUGCGGGCAGCAUCAGGGAAACCACAAGUUUUUGGGUUCCGGGGGAAGUAUGGUGUGCAAAGCUGAAACUUAAAGGAAUUGACGGAAGGGCACCACCAGGAGUGGAGCCUGCGGCUUAAUUUGACUCAACACGGGGAACCUCACCCGGCCCGGACACAGUUAGGAUUGACAGAUUGAGAGUUCUUUCUUGAUUCUGUGGGUGGUGGUGCAUGGCCGUUCUUAGUUGGUGGAGCGAUUUGUCUGGUUAAUUCCGAUAACGAACGAGACUCAAUCCUGCUAACUAGUGCGCCGACUAUUCAGCCAGGCGAUGACUUCUUAGAGGGACAGAUGUUAUAUAAGCAUACGAAACUGAGCAAUAACAGGUCUGUGAUGCCCUUAGAUGUUCGGGGCCGCACGCGCGCUACACUGAAUGGAUCAACGUGCCUUUCCCAAGGCUGAAAAGUCGAGGUAAUCCGUUGAACCCCAUUCGUGACGGGGAUAGGAGCUUGCAAUUAUUCUCCUUGAACGAGGAAUUCCCAGUAAGCGCGAGUCAUCAGCUCGCGUUGAUUACGUCCCUGCCCUUUGUACACACCGCCCGUCGCUACUACCGAUCGGAUUGUCCUGUGAAUUGGUAGGAGAGUUGAAGUCCUGGCGCUUCGGUGUCGGCGAUUUCAUGCUCGAAUUCCAUUGAACUGGACUCUCUAGAGGAAGUAAAAGUCGUAAC